UUUUGUUUCAGUUUUAAAUAUAUCCUAUGACAUUUUACUUUUCAAAUGCUUGAAGGGUGAAAUAGUACAACUGUGUGAAGCUCAAUCUAAUGAAUUUUUAAUAGAGGAUGACGCACGAAGACUUGCAUGGGCUGGACUACAAAACGCCCACGGUGACGCCUAUGUGGCUGCAGUGAAGGCGUAUCAAGAUACGGUGGAUUUAGGGUCUAGUAGGUUAGGAUGAAUGAGUGUGCUCAAGGAACUUAUACAAGCCGAGUACGAGGUAGCUUUUCAUUUAAGAUGCUGUUAGUUUAGUAACACAAUGUCAUUUACAUAAUCGUGUAAUUAUCACAUUUUUGAGGGUUUUGAAGAUCAUCAAUCGCAAAUGGCACGAAUCUUAGGUUGCA